GGGGAAGGGAAGGGGAGGGAAGGGAAGGGAAGGAAAGGAAAAGAAAAGAAAAAGAGAAAGAAAGAAGGAAAGAAAAGAAAACAAAAGAGCUGGAUGAGAAAGUUCUAAAGGUAGAGACUCGUGCCACAUGCAAAUGGCGACUUAACAUCGGGUCAAUUAGAGAAGGACUAGGCAAUGAUGAGUGUUCUGCUAGAGCGGCAAGAAAUGCCCGUGGCUCCCUGCUGCAAGCUUCCUCAUUUGAAUCAGGCCUUGGCAGCCACCACACCCACCAGGGCAAACUGGACUGGAGGAGUCUGAUUAGAAGAGAAAGAACCGGUUUAACAGAGCUAGGGUGAUGGGGGUUGCUUCCCGGAGCUGGCACCAUAGCACCAGGCAGAAGAGCGGGUGUCAAUGCUUCCGAGGCUCAAGACUGGUUUAAGAUUAUGGCAUUGGGUUUCAGAGCAACUUGUCAGAAUAAAGGAGGCAAAGAGGAGGACUUUGAGCUUCAGGAGCCAGAGGCUAUAAUUUCUGUCUCAGGAAUAAUGAUGACAACAAUAAUACCCUUAUUAUAAAUGUGCUUUAUAAUAUACAAGAUACCUUCAUAGACAUUAUCUCAUUUGAUCCUUACUGCAGCCCUAUGAGGCAAGCAGAUAUUCUUCAUCGCAUCUUAAAUAUAAGGAAUCUAAGUCUCACCCAGGAGCCCGGUUGGGGGCUCGGG
rnacentral:lncRNA from 1 species